AAAAUUAGAGUGUUCAAAGCGGGCAGAUAUUUUUCCUGCCACCGAAUACAUUAGCAUGGGAUAAUGGAAUAGGACCCUGACCUCCUAUUUUCAGUUGGUUUUGUUUAUACAGCGAGGUUCAUCAGGGUAAUGAUUAAUAGGGAUAGUUGGGGGCAUUAAUAUUUAAUUGUCAGAGGUGAAAUUCUUGGAUUUAUGAAAGAUUAACUUCUGCGAAAGCGUUUGCCAAGGAUGUUUUCAUUAAUCAAGAACGAAAGUUAGGGGAUCGAAGACGAUCAGAUACCGUCGUAGUCUUAACCAUAAACGAUGCCGACCAGCGAUUAGGAGACGUUGAAUACAAAACACCGCUGUUAAUCCCCUUUCGGGGGUUAAUAGUUGGUGAA
rnacentral:rRNA from 1 species